CACGUAGGGGCGAGCGUUGUCCGGAAUUACUGGGCGUAAAGGGCGCGCAGGCUGUUAUGCGAGUCUGCUGUGAAAUGUACCGGCUCAACCGGUGCCUUGCGGCGGAUACUGCAUAGCUGGAGUACUGGAGAGGGAAGUGGAAUUCCCGGUGUAGCGGUGAAAUGCGUAGAUAUCGGUAGGAACACCGGUGGCGAAGGCGGCUUUCUGGCCAGUUACUGACGCUCAUGCGCGAAAGCUGGGGUAGCGAACCGGAUUAGAUACU
rnacentral:rRNA from 1 species